AGAGUUUGAUCAUGGCUCAGGACGAACGCUGGCGGCAUGCCUAAUACAUGCAAGUCGAGCGAACAGAUGAAGUGCUUGCACUUCUGACGUUAGCGGCGAACGGGUGAGUACACGUAAGGAAUCUACCUAUAAGCGGGGGAUAACAUUCGGAAACGGGUGCUAAUACCGCAUAAUAUCUUCUUCCGCAUGGAAGAAGAUUGAAAGACGGCUCUGCUGUCACUUAUAGAUGACCUUGCGGUGCAUUAGUUAGUUGGUGGGGUAACGGCCUACCAAGACGAUGAUGCAUAGCCGACCUGAGAGGGUGAUCGGCCACAUUGGGACUGAGACACGGCCCAAACUCCUACGGGAGGCAGCAGUAGGGAAUCUUCCGCAAUGGGCGAAAGCCUGACGGAGCAAUGCCGCGUGAGUGAAGAAGGCCUUCGGGUCGUAAAACUCUGUUAUAAGAGAAGAACAAAUUGUAGAGUAACUGCUACAGUCUUGACGGUAUCUUAUCAGAAAGCCACGGCUAACUACGUGCCAGCAGCCGCGGUAAUACGUAGGUGGCAAGCGUUGUCCGGAUUUA
rnacentral:rRNA from 1 species